rnacentral:rRNA from 1 species
AGCAGUCGCCGCGGUAAUACGUAGGUGGCAAGCGUUGUCCGGAAUUAUUGGGCGUAAAGGGCUCGCAGGCGGUUUCUUAAGUCUGAUGUGAAAGCCCCCGGCUCAACCGGGGGGGGUCAUUAGAAACUGGGAAACUUGAGUGCAGAAGAGGAGAGUGGAAUUCCACGUGUAGCGGUGAAAUGCGUAGAGAUGUGGAGGAACACCAGUGGCGAAGGCGACUCUCUGGUCUGUAACUGACGCUGAGGAGCGAAAGCGUGGGGAGCGAACAGGAUUAGAUACCCGGGUAGUCCCUGUCUCUUAUAC